UCGAGAAUCUUCGGCAAUGGGCGCAAGCCUGACCGAGCGACGCCGCGUGUGGGAUGAAGGCCUUCGGGUUGUAAACCACUGUCAGAGGGGAGGAAAUGUAUGUGGGUACUCCCAUGUACUUGACCUAUCCUCAGAGGAAGUACGGGCUAAGUUCGUGCCAGCAGCCGCGGUAAGACGAACCGUACGAACGUUAUUCGGAAUUACUGGGCUUAAAGGGUGCGUAGGCGGCGCAGUAAGUUGGGUGUGAAAUCCCUCGGCUUAACCGAGGAAUUGCGCCCAAAACUACUGUGCUCGAGGGAGAUAGAGGUGAGCGGAACUUAGGGUGGAGCGGUGAAAUGCGUUGAUAUCCUAAGGAACACCGGUGGCGAAAGCGGCUCACUGGAUCUCUUCUGACGCUGAGGCACGAAAGCUAGGGUAGCAAACGG
rnacentral:rRNA from 1 species